rnacentral:tRNA from 1 species
GAGGGUAUAGCUCAAUGGUAGAGUGUGUGCUUAGCAUGCACAAAGUCCUGGGUUCAAUUCCCAGUACUUCCA